rnacentral:rRNA from 1 species
GGCUUCGGCCUGGGGCAGAGCCGCGAACGGGUGAGUAACACGUGGGUAACGUGCCCCAAUGAUCGGGACAACCCGGGGAAACCCGGGCUAAUACCGAAUGUGCUCCCCUCACAUCAGUGAGGGGUGAAAAGGAAGCUUCGGCCUCCGCAUUGGGAUCGGCCCGCGGCCCAUUAGCUUGUUGGUGAGGUAACGGCUCACCAAGGCGACGAUGGGUAGCCGAUCUGAGAGGAUGACCGGCCACACUGGGACUGAGAUACGGCCCAGACUCCUACGGGAGGCAGCAGUCGAGAGGCUUCGGCAAUGGGGGAAACCCUGACCGAGCGACGCCGCGUGCGGGAUGAAGGCCUUCGGGUCGUAAACCGCUGUCAGAAGGGAAGAAUCCUCUCGGGAUAACACCCCGAGAGUUGACGGUACCUUCAGAGGAAGCUCCGGCUAACUCCGUGCCAGCAGCCGCGGUAAUACGGAGGGAGCGAACGUUGUUCGGAUUUACUGGGCGUAAAGGGUGUGUAGGCGGUCUUGUAAGUCAGGGGUGAAAUCUCUCGGCUCAACCGAGAAACUGCCUUUGAGACUGCAGGACUUGAGGGCGUGAGAGGAGACUGGAAUUCCUAGUGUAGCGGUGAAAUGCAUAGAUAUUAGGAGGAACACCAGUGGCGAAGGCGAGUCUCUGGCACGCAUCUGACGCUGAAACACGAAAGCCAGGGGAGCGAACGGGAUUAGAUACCCCGGUA